rnacentral:rRNA from 1 species
GUGAGGAAUAUUGGUCAAUGGGCGCAAGCCUGAUCCAGCCAUGCCGCGUGUGUGAAGAAGGUCUUCGGAUUGUAAAGCACUUUAAGUUGGGAGGAAGGGCAGUAAGUUAAUACCUUGCUGUUUUGACGUUACCGACAGAAUAAGCACCGGCUAACUUCGUGCCAGCAGCCGCGGUAAUACGAAGGGUGCAAGCGUUAAUCGGAAUUACUGGGCGUAAAGCGCGCGUAGGUGGUUUUGUAAGUUGGAGGUGAAAUCCCCGGGCUCAACCUGGGAACUGCCUCCAAAACUGCAUGACUAGAGUACGGUAGAGGGUAGUGGAAUUUCCUGUGUAGCGGUGAAAUGCGUAGAUAUAGGAAGGAACACCAGUGGCGAAGGCGACUACCUGGACUGAUACUGACACUGAGGUGCGAAAGCGUGGGGAGCAAACAGGAUUAGAAACCCGGGUAGUCC